AGCUGCGGCAGCGGCGGUGGGACUGCGCGUAACCGGGCGGUCGGCACGACUCUCCUUGGGCUGGGUCUGGGGAGCUGUGCCUUCUUUCUGGCAGUGAAUGGUCUGUAUUCCUCUAGUGGUGAUGUGAUCGAAUUUACUCCAUCAAAUUUCAACUGAGAAGUUAUUCAGAGUGAUAGUUUGUGGCUUGUAGAAUUCCAUGCUCGAUGGUGUGGUCACCGUCAAAGAUUAACACCAGAAUGGAAGAAAGCAGCUACUGCAUUAAAAAGAUGUUGUGAAAGUUGGUGCAGUUGAUGCAGAUAAACAUCAGUCCCUAGGUGGUCAGUAUGGUGUUCAGGGAUUUCCUACAAUUAAGAUUUUUGGAUCCAACAAAAACAGACCAGAAGGUUACCAAGGUAGCAGAACUGGCGGAGCCAUCGUAGAUGCUGCGCUCAGCACUCUGCGCCAGCUCGUGAAGGAUUGCCUUGGGGGACGGAGCGGAGGAUACAGUUCUGGAAAACAAGGCAGAGGUGAUAGUUCAAGUAAGAAGGAUGUGAUUGAGCUGACCAACGACAGCUUUGAUCAGAACGUUCUUGACAGCGAAGAUGUUUGGAUGGUUGAGUUCUAUGCUCCUUGGUGUGGACACUGCAAAAGCCUAGAGCCAGAGUGGGCUGCUGCAGCUUCAGAAGUAAAAGAGCAAACAAAAGGAAAAGUGAAACUGGCAGCUGUGGAUGCUACAAUCAGGUUCUAGCCUCCCGGUAUGGGAUUAGAGGAUUUCCUACAAUCAAGAUAUUUCAGAAAGGCGAGUCCCCUGUGAAUUAUGAUGGUGGGCGGACAAGAUCCUACAUAGUGUCCCGGGCCCUUGAUUUGUUUUCUGAUAACGCCCCACCUCCUGAACUGCUUGAGAUUAUCAACGAGGACAUUGCCAAGAGGACGUGUGAGGAGCAUAUCCAGGAAACACUGAUAGCUAUCUCUCCAUUUAUUUUAUUAAGUGACGGUGGUAGGCAACUAAUUACCCCAUGGAUAGUUCUUUUAAAAUUGAGUCAAAAUUUACGUUAA